CUUUCUCACUAAUAAUCCUGUAUUGUUUAUGACAAUGUUUCUAAGAAUUCUGAAAUGUUGUAAAGGGGAAACUGCAGGAAGACUACAGAGACCAGGGGGAGUUCGAAACAAGUAGAACAAGCGAACGGAUGUGUGUUGAGAUCAUUUGAACGGACUGUGAAACUGUCGCGAAGGGUCGAAUGUGCUGUGUGUUGUGCAAGUCAUCACUUCUGAUCCAGUGAUUGAUCCAGGCUUUUCUACACCGACGAAAUAUUCAGUGACACCCCCUAAUUUUUUCUCCUGUACACACCCCACAGGGGUUGCGCUUGCAAUUUCAGCUUUACACGCAUGUUGGUAAUGAUGUAUUAAGCUGUAAUGAUGUAACUAUAAUAAUGACCCCCUUCCCACCCCAAUGUUUUUCAACACCCCUCCAUGGUUGGGAUCCUGGAGAAUCACUGCGCUGAUCCCUGGCACAAAGCACCAUCUCAUCUGCCUGUUCCGCCUGCGACCUUCUUGGAAAUCGAGAACAAGUUGAAGUAGCCCGGUCUGACCACAAGGAUGCGCUACAGCGCAUGACCAUCGAGGCAACACUACAAAAGGGCAACAUCUACAUUCAGGCAGUCGGGCACGGCGCCGCUGCAACAAUGCAUCGCUCACACUUGUUAUUAACACAGGGGGAUGUACGAAAGCUGAGUGUACAGGGAUCUUACCACGAAGCCUUCCGUCGAAACUCGUGUUCUCUACCGCGUCACCGGGUCUAGGCAUGAGGAAACAUCUCACUUCGCUGAAGCUGGAUCUGAUAUUUUCGCGCAGUUCGGAUACUUCACGUGGAAGUGUGGGGUUCCUUUCCAGCCAGGGGCGAAGCAGCGCUUCUCCUCCUUUCAGUCCAAACGAUUUCUCUCCAGGAUAUUGCCAGUCACGAAUGAGAAACAGGAGUUUCUGGAACACUUCAUUGCCCUGGCCCUCCUUACUUCUUGCCAUGCUAGCAUAUUCUGCAAAUAGCUGGAAGGAAAAAAAGCAAGUCGCUUACAUACUGCUCACUGGGAACAGAUCGCCGGUUCGAGCCCGACCAAGGACGCCAUCAACUUGGUGCCAGGAUAGAAGUUACUUAGACACGCCAUCUUCCGCAAGGAACAUUAAAUACGGUGUGUUGUGUGGUGAACAUUCAUUGCACAUUAAAGGACCCUCAGGUG